AGCAAUCAGGAAGACUCUGUGGGUGUGGGACCCUCCGAGCCAGGUGCGGGAUGUAAUCUCGUGGUGCGCCGUUUUUUAAGCCCGUCGGAAAAGCGCAGUAUUCGGGUGGGAGUGACCCGAUUUUCCAGGUGCCGUCCAUCACCCCUUUUUUUGACUCGGAAAGGGAACUCCCUGACCCCUUAUGCUUCCCAAGUGAGGCAAUGCCUCGCCCUGCUUCGUCUCGCGCACGGUGCGCGCUCCCACUGACCUGCGCCCACUGUCUGGCACUCCCUAGUGAGAUGAACCCGGUACCUCAGAUGGAAAUGCAGAAAUCACUGUCUUCUGCGUCGCUCACGCUGGGAGCUGUAUACCGGAGCUGUUCCUAUUCGGCCAUCUUGGCUCCCAAGAUAUAAGGAAGUUUCUAGCAUUUGAAGAGAGAUGCAGAAGAACCCAUUCAUUAUUGCAUCCAGCACCCAGAAAAGUUCCUAACACAUACACCGAGAGUGGUCAGCCAGAUGGGCGGGAACCAGUAUGCUGUUUCUGCUAUCCAGUACACCUUACCAAGAUUUCACAGAACCUCUGACUAAUACAGCAAUAUUGAUUUUAUCUAAAGGGAAUUACUUUUAAGAAAAUUUUCUCCUAAAUCGCCCUGGAAGAUGCUCUCUUGUUUAACCAAAUAGUGUUGAUUAAAAGGUUGAAAUGAA
rnacentral:lncRNA from 1 species